ensembl:lncRNA
UUAAUAUAUCAAUAUCAUUUGUAAUAGUUUAGCCAAUAUUACAAUUGAAAGUAUAUAUAUAUAUAUAUAUAUAUAUAUUUUUUUUUUUUUUUUUUUUCCCAGUAAAAGUCCCUUUAAGGUGUGUGCAGUUGGACGGUUUAGACCCUGUGCUGUAGCUACAUAUUAAAGUAAGUAAUAGAGAAAAACUCAUAUUAUUAUCAGAUUAUGAGGUUUAAUCAUAUUCGCGUAUAUUUAUUAGCAGUAUUACAUUAUUUUACAUGUUAUUUUUUAUAUUUUUACCUCAGAUAUUGGGUAUUUUAGAGUGUGUGAAAUGUUAGCCGAUAUGCUAACGCUGCGGGAGUGGCCUGUCAGAAAACGGGCGGGAAAAUAAAUCAGGCUUUUUUUCUCAGACUGGGGCUGCGUCCCCUCAGCUCGCCUCUGUACCCCGCUGAACUCAGCCAAACUUCACUAAACCUCACCAAACCGCGCUUUAAACACGUAAUUAACCUGCAGGGUUUCACCGGAGGAGCUGGAGAAACUCUGAGAGGAUCAUCCAGCAGAAUCACCGCGGGGAAAUCUCACUCUGUAGCCCGCGGGAGGAGCGGUGUGGAGAGCCGAGGAGCGGUGCUGAUCCUGAAAGACAAGCAACCAAAAGUGAGGCCUCUGGAAAAACCACAGCUACUGUACUGCACAACUCCAGGACUCCACAGCUUUUACUGUGCCGAGCGCAGGGACGGGGCUUUACAGGCAAGUUCAGUGGAUUUCCUGAUGAGCGAUGGUGAGGAGGAAAGCUCUUUCUUGACGUUGCCGAACACAGUCCUCCAGCGCCACUGCCUGACCUCUGACCUCCCAGAUCCUCAUUUAUCAGACCAGCAGCAGCUGCUCAUACAGGUACAACCUCUUUACAACUUGUUUUACUUAAUUCUUUAAUUGUAAAGAUAUUAUUUUCUUUUACC